GCCGGGAUGGCGGAAACCGGUAACGCGCCAGUGCUUUUGAUCUGGUUUCCUUCGGGAAGUUUGGGUUCAAAUCCCAAUCCCGGCG
rnacentral:tRNA from 3 species